CUAAGCUUGUGUGAAGGAAACUAACAUUCUAAUUAAGAAUGAACAUAAAAGCGAUAUCUAUAUUAUUGUUCAUCACCGGAAUCGAACCACAAUUCCUGCCAGGGUACAUCAAACUUCUCCCGCCGCUGACCGAGAAGAUGCCGUGCGAGAAGUGCCCCAACGUUUACUUCCCUGUCUGCGCCUCCAACAACAAGACUUAUAUUAACAACUGUCAGUUUGUCUGCAAGGGAUUUAAUGAGAGCAUCUAUGUUAUAAGACGAGGUGUUUGUAUUUUUUUCUAAAGCAAUAAAAAG